rnacentral:lncRNA from 1 species
CUUCGUAGGCUAAUGCAUUGGCCCUUUUCGACCCGUUUUGGGGCGAAAACAAAAACUGACUCCCGGGCAUAUUUUUUUCGGCCUUUAUGGGCAAAGAACUUUAAUGGCGCUCAGAAUGAGGCCACCCAGUAGUUAGGUGUGAAUUUUCGAGACCUCUGGCACCGUUCUAAGAUGGGUCCUCUCUUCGUAGGCUAAUGCAUUGGCCCUUUUCGACCCGUUUUGGGGCGAAAACAAAAACUGACUCCGGGCAUAUUUUUUUCGGCCUUUAUGGGCAAAGAACUUUAAUGCCGCUCAGAAUGAGGCCACCAGUAGUUAGGUGUGAAUUUUCGAGACCUCUGGCACCGUUCUAAGAUGGGUCCUCUCUUUGUAGGCUAAUGCAUUGGCUCCUUUCGACCCGUUUUGGGGCGAAAACAAAACCUGACUCCCGGGCAUAUUUUUUUCGGC